GAUGAACGCUAGCUACAGGCUUAACACAUGCAAGUCGAGGGGAAACGGCAUUUAGUGCUUGCACCGAAUGGACGUCGACCGGCGCACGGGUGAGUAACGCGUAUCCAACCUUCCCAUUACUUUGGGAUAACCUGCCGAAAGGCAGACUAAUACCUCAUAGUCUUCGAUGACGGCAUCAGAUUUGAAGUAAAGAUUUAUCGGUUAUGGAUGGGGAUGCGUCUGAUUAGCUUGUUGGCGGGGUAACGGCCCACCAAGGCAACGAGCAGUAGGGGUUCUGAGAGGAAGGUCCCCCACAUUGGAACUGAUACACAGUCCAAACUCCUACGGGAGGCAGCAUUGAGGAAUAUUGGUCAAUGGACGAAAGUCUGAACCAGCCGAGUAGUGUGCAGGAUUACCGCCCUGUUGUGUUGUAAACUGCUUGUGUUGGGGAUAAAGCAAUCACUUGUGAUUGUUUGCAGGUUCCAUACGAAAAUGACCUGUUAAUUCCUUUCUAUCUGGCGCUGGUUUGCGGAAGGUUCUGGUUUUAUCGGGAUUUGUGGUGGUUUAAAGUGAUCGUAGUUGGUUGUUUGUUUGUGUUUUGUGAUGUGGUGGGUUGAUGUGUGUGUUUGUGGGUGUGUGUGGGU
rnacentral:rRNA from 1 species